ensembl:snRNA U6 U6 spliceosomal RNA
GUGCUCACUUCGGUAGCACAUAUACUAAACUGGAACCAUACAGAGAAGAUUAGUGUGGCCUCUGUGCAAAGAUGACACUUAAAUUUGCGAAGCGUUCCAUAUUUUU